CUCGCUCACUGUAAUAUAACCUCAGACACAACUGAAAUGCCAUGGAUGUACAGUUGCUCUUUAAAACAAAAUUUUGAGCGUCAAGUAUAAUUUCAAAUGUGAUUAAAUAUUUCGCUCGAUUUAUAUCUAAUGAUAAAUUAAAGUUACAUAUCGCAGACAGUAUAUCAAAAACUGGAAGAAUAAAACAAUGGGGGAACUAACUAGAAGUCGGGCAUGGUUUGUAGUAAUCGCUGCGAGUGUUACCUCUAUGAUCAUGGUCGGACUUGGUCGUAUGGCUGGCAUCUUGUAUGUCUCUUUCAUCGACGUCUAUCAUGUGGACAGAAAAACUGCUUCUGCUCCUUCCAGCUUGCGUGCUACAUUCAGGUACUUACUAGGUCCUAUUGCUGGCAUUUUGGGUCAAAAAUACGGCGUAUCGGUAGUUACCUUUGUCGGUGCACUCCUUGGCAUUGUCAGCUGCGUCGGGUGCUUUUUUGCGAAAGAUAUUACCUGGAUAACAGUUUUUUGGGGCGGUUUA